rnacentral:lncRNA from 1 species
CAAGUGUCGUAGAUCCGAACUGCGGCAAGCUUAACCGCAUCUACCAACUGCGGUUAUGCACCGCCGCACCUCCCAGGUACGGCACCCCUCAACCGCGCCUCCCAAGUGCGGAGUUCUGCGCGCACCUCCUCUUGCAAGAGUCAUCCCCAACCCCAACCCCAGUUCAAUCUCUCUCGUCAUCCCCAACCCCAACCCAAGUUCAAUCUCUCUCACAACAUACAAACAACAUGAUCAACUAACCUAAUGCAAGAAAAAUAACAUUUAACAGAAGAACUAACCUGGGCGCCUGCUGAAGUGCUAGAUCUCACCACCACACAGCCACACCAAACAACCUGAGCCCGUGAAAAUGAUGACAAACAGAGAAGAGGAAGCACUGUAAUGGUAAAAUGAGUGUUGAGCAAAGUAAAAGAAAUAAGAAGGGGUGUUGAGAUGCGACACUGGAAAGCACUUUGCUUUUUCAAUAGUCAGCUUUUUCAGUAUUUUUUAAAAUCAAAAUAUUCUUUUUAAGGGACAAAAUGGUAAUUUGGGAGGUGCAGGGAGAAAGGGAUGAGGUGUAGGGAGAAGCACUCCAAAAUAUUCACCACCAGUUACAUCAAAACGAAACUAAUAAGUUAUUAUUUAAUCACAGGCUUAAUACUUCCAUUGGUCCUCAUAUUUGUGUGCAAAUCUCAGUUUGGUUUUCAAGUUUUGAACUGUCUCAAUUAAGUCAUAAUUUUUGUAAAAAUGCACACAUUUCACCCUAACCGUUAAGUUGUCUCAAACGACGUUAAUUGAUGCUGAGAUGAUUUUUUUAUUUUAAGCUUAAUCCCUUUCUUGGUCCUUAUGUUUGUGUGAAAAUCUCAAUUCGGUCCUCGAGUUUUGAACUGUCUCAAUUGGGUCAUAAUUUUUGAGCUAUCGACAACGACGACAUUUUUUAGUUUGAGAGGGAGAAAAUGUGUGAGUCGGGGAGUUUGAGGGUUUGAGGGUGGAGGAAUGAGUGAAAUGCGAUCAGUGAUUGGAAGGAAAAAGAAAUACCAUAGCCACAUAAAUUUAAUGAUUUUAAAACAUAAAAAAAAAAAAUUACAGCUCAGUUCAAAGUUAACGUCGUCUCAAGACACUACGGUUGGGGUAAAAUGUUGUAAAAUGUUUGCAUUUCAUAAGGACUUGAGGAAAAAGUGUGAUAAGUGAUUGGAAGGAAAAAAGAAAGACCAUAGCCACGUGGAUUUAAUGAUUUUAAAACAUAAAAAAAAAUACAGCUCAGUUCAAAGUUAAUGCCGUCUCAAUACACUUAAUGGUUGGGGUAAAAUAUUGUAAAAUGUUUGCAUUUCAUAAGGACUUGAGGAAAAACUUGAGGACCGAACUGAGAUUUUCACACAAACAUAAGGACCAAGGGAAAAAUUAAGCCUAAAAUAAAAAUUUCAUCUGAG